rnacentral:lncRNA from 1 species
UGAAGCCCGCCUGGUCUACAGAGUGAGUUCCAAAGCUGCCAGGGAUACAUAGAGAAACAUUGUAUCAAAAAACAAGGCAAACAAACCACAAAAGUCUCACACAUGCUAGGCAAGGAUUCACAGAGUCCCUAGUGGGAACCUACAGCAUGACAGUAAAAGGCUGGAGAGGUGGCUCAGUGGGUAAGAGCACUCACUGCUCUUCUAGAGGUCCUGAGCUCCCAGGAACCACAUGCUGGCUCACAACCAUCUAUAAUGAGAUCUGAUGCCCUCUUCUGGUGUGUCUGAAGAUAGCUACAAUGUAUUUAUACAUAUAAUAAAUAAAUAAAUCUUUAAAAAAAAAAGAAUAUAGCUAAAAAUGUGCAAGAAGACAGAAUAUGAGGAACUUCCCAAGGAGAUUUUCCUCUGGAUGAGCAGGGGCAAGCACCUGUGUGACAAGGGGCUCAGUGACCACAUCUGAAAUGCCCCCCCCGCCCCCAAACUUCAUUGUUUUCUAUAAACCAGACUCGCUAGGCACAGACUUUCAUUCUGGUCUUUCUGUCUUCAUUUCCUAUUCCAUGCAUGCUAGGCUGCAUAGCCAGCGUCCAUCGUACGUCCAUCGUAGGCAGCAGGGACAAGAUUGGCAGGAGAGAAUGAAUCCACCCUUGAGACCAGAGUUGGGGAAAUAAGCUUAUUGAAUGUACUCCAAGAGGAUAGAGGGCAAGGACAUACCAGAGUACUGGCUGCAGUUUGAAAUGCUUUCUAAAUCAUAAUACUCACUGAACACAAAUUUGGAAUUUCAGGUAGUGUAGAAGUGUAGUGUGCUGGCUGGUUCUGUGUGUCAACUUGAUACAAGCUGGAAUUAUCAAAGAGAAAGGAGCCUCCCUUGAGGAAAUGCCUCCAUGAGAUCCAGCUGUGGGGCAUUUUAUUCAUUAAUGAUCAAGGGUGAGAGGGCCUGUUGUGGGGGGGGGGUCCAUCCCUGGGCUGGUAGUCCUGGGUUCUAUAAGCAAGCAAGCUGAGCAAGCCAGGGGAAGCAAGCUAGUAAGGAACAUUCCUCCAUGGCCUCUGCAUCAGCUCCUGCUUGGUGACCUGCUGGAGUUCCAGUCCUGACUUCUUUUGGUGAUAAACCCUUUCCUCCCCAAUUUGCUUCUUGGUCUUGAUAAGCCCUACUAAGGCAUGUAGUGUAAGGAUGAUACAAUAUUGCAUUGUCUUUCCUAUGUCUAAAGUCUACAGAAAAUAACAAAUGUUACCAGUGACAAUCUCAGGCUCAAUAAAAAUUGAUUAAAAGAAAGUAGAAUACCCAAGGUCAGAGACAUUGUUCAAUGGUAAAGACAUGGCCAAGUCUGAUGUCUUGACUUCACUCUCCAUGGUCUAGGUGGUAGAUGGCGAGAACCAACUCCCUUUUCCAGCCCAGACCUGGAAACUCUACCUCCCAAGUGCUAUGAAGACUUUCACCUGAAGCUGCCUCUGGCAACGAUGGAUGUCCACACUUGGACUGUAUACUUUGAGAAUUGUCACUUCAAACAAUAGCAACAAUAACAAAAUCCUAGUGCUUGGGAGCCAGAAGCAGGCAGAUCUUUGUGAGUUUGAGGUCAGCCUGGUCUAGCCAGGGCAGCCAGAACUUCACUGUGAGAACUUAUCUCAAUGCACACCCCCUCCCGCUCGCCACUACCACCACAACAAAAAAAUCACCUCAGAAGAUAAAAACAGCCAGGCAUAGUGGUGCACAUCUUUCAUCCCAGAACCUGGGAGACAGAAGCAGGUGAAUAUUUGAGUUUGAGGCCAGCCUGAUCUACAGAGUGCAUCCCAGGACUUACAUGGCUACACUACACAGAGAAACCCUGUUCAAAAAAAAAAAUCAAAAAAGAAGAGGAAGACAGGGGCUGGUGAGAUGGCUCAGCAGGUAAGAGCACCCAACUGCUCUUCCGAAGGUCCUGAGUUCAAA